rnacentral:hammerhead_ribozyme from 1 species
AGCUGGCUGACGAGUCCCAAAUAGGACGAAAUAAUGCGCAUCCUGGAU